UACAGGGGGUGCUAGCGUUGUUCGGAAUUACUGGGCGUAAAGGGCGCGCAGGCGGCGCAUUUGUCAGGCGUGAAAGCCCGGGCUUAACCUGGGAACUGCGUUUGAUACGGAUGGGCUAGAGUUCGGGAGAGGAGAGUGGAAUUCCCAGUGUAGAGGUGAAAUUCGUAGAUAUUGGGAAGAACACCCGUGGCUAAGGCGGUUCUCUAGUACGGUACUGACGCUGAGACGGCGAAAGCGUGGGGAGCGAACAGG
rnacentral:rRNA from 1 species